UACGAAGGGUGCUAGCGUUGUUCGGAAUUACUGGGCGUAAAGCGGGUGUAGGCGGAUCGCUAAGUCGGGGGUGAAAGCCCAGGGCUCAACCCUGGAAUUGCCUUCGAUACUGGCGGUCCCGAGUUCAGGAGAGGUGAGCGGAAUUCCGAGUGUAGAGGUGAAAUUCGUAGAUAUUCGGAGGAACACCAGAGGCGAAGGCGGCUCACUGGACUGAUACUGACGCUGAGACCCGAAAGCGUGGGGAGCAAACAGG
rnacentral:rRNA from 1 species